rnacentral:rRNA from 3 species
CAAGCCGGCCACAGAGCCGGGGUGCGACCCAACCCCAUUCCGAACUUGGAAGUCAAACCCGGCAUCGCUGUUGUGCUACUAAGGUGCGAGAGCCCUUGGGAAGCAACAGUGCUGGCAUUA